GACGAACGCUGGCGGCGUGCUUAACACAUGCAAGUCGAGCGGUAAGGCCCUUUCGGGGGUACGACGAGCGGCGAACGGGUGAGUAACACGUGGGUGACCUGCCCUUAGCUCUGGGAUAAGCCUGGGAAACUGGGUCUAAUACCGGAUAUGACUCCAUGACGCAUGUUGUGGGGUGGAAAGCCUUGUGCGGCUAGGGAGUGGGCCCGCGGCCUAUCAGCUUGUUGGUGGGGUGAUGGCCUACCAAGGCGACGACGGGUAGCCGGCCUGAGAGGGCGACCGGCCACACUGGGACUGAGACACGGCCCAGACUCCUACGGGAGGCAGCAGUGGGGAGUCUUGCGCAAUGGGCGAAAGCCUGACGCAGUGACGCCGCGUGGGGAUGACGGCCUC
rnacentral:rRNA from 1 species